GGGCGUGUAACUCAGUGGUAGAGUGCUCGCUUCGCAUUUCUAGCAGUAUUGCGAGAAGUCCAGGGUUCAACUCCCUGCUCGUCCA